CAGCAUUAUCCAAAUAAUUUUAAAAAUCACAUUUAAAUUUAAGAAAUCUUUUUAUAUGGAAACAAAACUCACAAUCCACAAAAAGCUAACCUGUAAAUUAUCAGCAUAAUAAAUAUCUUCUCAGAAAUGAUACAUAGCAUAUAAUCUGAUCAUAUUUAAAAAGGGCACCAAAAUUUGAAAUGGGAAAUAGUAAUAUUCUUCAUAAUUUGCUGCAACCCACAAAAUGGUACCUCAAAAAAAAAUCAUGAAGUCUAAUUUAGUUCUUGUUGAAAACUUAGCACACGUUAAAAUAUCAUGUCAGAGAAAAUGAUAGAUAUAAAGACACUGAUAAUCUUAAUUUGGUGUAGAAACAGAAAGUUAUUAUAUGCCAGGAAACUUAUGCCAUACACCAUAUAUGUAGUAGCAGUUAGCAAUUAAAUCAUAAAUAAAUUAACUUACAGUAAUUUAUGAAACAUUAGUAGGAGGCAGUUACACAAGUUGUUAGAAAAGUUUGGACA
rnacentral:lncRNA from 1 species